rnacentral:rRNA from 1 species
AUUGAACGCUGGCGGCAUGCCUUACACAUGCAAGUCGAACGGCAGCACGGGAGCAAUCCUGGUGGCGAGUGGCGAACGGGUGAGUAAUACAUCGGAACGUGCCCAAUCGUGGGGGAUAACGCAGCGAAAGCUGUGCUAAUACCGCAUACGAUCUACGGAUGAAAGCAGGGGAUCGCAAGACCUUGCGCGAAUGGAGCGGCCGAUGGCAGAUUAGGUAGUUGGUGAGGUAAAGGCUCACCAAGCCGUCGAUCUGUAGCUGGUCUGAGAGGACGACCAGCCACACUGGGACUGAGACACGGCCCAGACUCCUACGGGAGGCAGCAGUGGGGAAUUUUGGACAAUGGGCGAAAGCCUGAUCCAGCCAUGCCGCGUGCAGGAUGAAGGCCUUCGGGUUGUAAACUGCUUUUGUACGGAACGAAACGGCCUUUUCUAAUAAAGAGGGCUAAUGACGGUACCGUAAGAAUAAGCACCGGCUAACUACGUGCCAGCAGCCGCGGUAAUACGUAGGGUGCAAGCGUUAAUCGGAAUUACUGGGCGUAAAGCGUGCGCAGGCGGUUAUGUAAGACAGUUGUGAAAUCCCCGGGCUCAACCUGGGAACUGCAUCUGGACUGCAUAGCUGAGUACGGUAGA